CGAAGAUCCUGAGAUUUGAUAUGGGUUACAGGAAUUUGCAGCCCCAAACAAAUCACUGUUCCAAAAUUGAAAGCCUACCUACCGAUUUGCAGCCCCAAACAAAUCACCAAAGAAGAAACUGAUGUAUCGACUCACCAAUCGAAAGUAUCCCUAUGCAGGUGAAGCUUUCUAGAUCUAUCAGUAGCCAGUACCUGACUGCAUUACUCAUGGCCGCUCCUUUGGCUCUGGGAGAUGUGGAAAUUGAGAUAGUAGAUAAAUUAAUUUCUGUUCCUUAUGUUGAGAUGACAUUGAAACUGAUGGAAUGCUUUGGUGUCACUGUGGAGCACAGUGGUAGCUGGGACCGAUUCCUGGUCAAGGGUAGUUAAAAAUACAAGUCCCCUGGAAAUGCGUAUGUUGAAGGCGAUGCAUCAAGUGCAAGUUAUUUCCUAGCAGGCGCGGCAGUCACCGGUGGCACUGUCACAGUUGAAGGUUGUGGCACAAGCAGUUUACAGCAUCAAACCGGCUGUAGUUGCUUCUCGUAAGGAACACAUAAAUCUAGAGCAAUGGCUGAACGAAAAUCUGAGCACAUAC